UUAGAAAGUAAAAAUAACAAAGUAUAUAGGCAAUAAAUUACUAGCAAAAAGCAACCAUGUAAAAAAGAAAAUAUACACUGUUUCCCACACAACAAUAACAUGUUGGUGCUAGUCUCAAACAAAACAGGAGGGAGGAAAGUGUUCUCGGCAAUGUUUCAGGAAAUAACAUCAUGGGAUUUUCGAAGUCUACAAACUUUGCUGUGGCCUAUGAAUUCCAACUCAUAAUAAACAAUAUGCAAUUGGAUAUUGUUAUAGAUUAUAGGAAGUAAAUAUGUUAAUAUAGAAAGUAAAUAUUGAUAGAUGGGUUAGUUACUUAAUCUUAGGGAUUGUAUAAUCAUAGGCUUGAUUUUCCUUCCUAUUUAGAUACUGUCUCUCAUGUAUAAAUAGGUUGUAAUCUUUAUUGUGAUACAACAACAAGUAUUAUCUUUCUACAUGGUAUCAGAGCCUUUCUUGUAGAGAUUUAAUUUUCUUUUUUUUUCUUUGUCGUCAAGUUUUAAAAAUUUUUUUGGGAGACUUAGAACUCUGUUCAUUUGGGUUAUCCAUAAAGGGUAACAUUUGGAUCUCACCAUCACUGUUCGCUCUCUGUCUCCUUAGACUACUCCUACACCUUUCGCUCAUGUGCCAGGUCGCCUUCCCAUCUUUCAUGUGUAUUCCAGACGCUUAGAGGACUCUGACUCCGCUCCACUACCCGCUUUUUCGUUGACAGAUCCUGCUCCCACUGAUCCUUCACUGUCUGAUUUGGAUUUGCCAAUUGUUCUUCGCAAAGGUAAACGUACUUGCACUUAUCCUAUUUCAGCUUGUGCCACUGCUUUAAAUUCUAUUUCAGUUUCCAAAACUGUUAUUGAGGCUUUGUCCCAUCCUCAUUGGCAUGCUGCAAUGGAAGAGGAAAUGAUGGCCCUUGACACUAAUGGUACUUGGGAGUUGAUGUCCUUGCCCCAGAAAAGCGGGCUAUUGGAUGCAAAUGGGUGUUUGUUGUGAAAGUAAAUCCUGAUGGAUCUGUUGCUCGCCUCAAGGCCCGUUUAGUGGCCAAAGGUUAUGCACAAACUUAUGGAGUUGACUAUUCUGAUACAUUUUUCCUAGUUGCCAAGCUCGCAUCUGUUCGAUUGUUUAUUUCCUUGGCAGCUACACAUGAUUGGCCUUUGCAUCAACGGAUAUUAAAAAUGCUUUUCUUCAUGGUGAUCUUCAGGAGGAGGUUUAUAUUAAGCAACCACCUGGUUUUGUUACUCAGGGGGAGUCAAGCAAGGUUUGUAGACUUCGAAAAUCCCUUUCUGGCUUGAAACAGAGUCCUCGAGCAUGGUUUGGCAAGUUUAGUGAGGUGGUCUAACAGUUUGGAAUGAAGAUGAGUAAGUGUGAUCACUCAGUGUUUUAUAAAAAUUCUGAUAGUGGAGUAAUUCUGCUUGUAGUAUAUGUGGAUAUCGUUAUCACAGGAAGUGACAUUGCUGACAUCACAUCCCUAAAAGAAUUUCUCAAAACACAGUUUCAUACAAAGAAUUUGGGUUCAUUGAAAUAUUUCUUGGGAAUCGAAGUUAUGCGGUGUAAGAAAGACAUCUUCUUGUCUCAAAGAAAAUAUGUUCUUGAUUUGUUAGCAGAAACAGGAAAAUUGGGAGCUAAGCCUUGUAGUGCCCCAAUGACCCCUAACCUUCAACUUAUCACAGAAGACAGUGAGCCAUUUGCAGAUCCUGAAAGGUAUAGAAGAUUAGUUGGCAAGCUGAAUUAUUUGACGGUGACUCGUCCUGAUAUUGCAUAUUCAGUGAGUGUGGUAAGUCAGUUUAUGUCCUCUCCUAUUGUUGUCCAGUGGGAUGCUUUGGGAUAGAUUAUUUGUUACCUUAAAGGGGCCCCAGGGCGAGGGCUAUUCUAUGGUAACCAUGGGAACUGAAAUAUUGAAUGCUUUUCUGAUGUUGAUUAGGCAGGCUUGAAGGUUGAUAGGAGGUCAACUACUGGGUAUUGGAUUUUUGUGGGAGGCAAUUUGAUAUCAUGGAAAAGUAAGAAGCAAAAUGUGAUCUUUCGUUCUAAUGCUAAAUCUAAAUAUCGAGCCAUGGCACAAGCUGUUUGUGAAGUCUUGUGGGUACGUCAACUAUUAGAAGAAGUUGGAUUCACAAAUUCGGUGUCUGCUAAGUUGUGGUGUGAUAAUCAAGCAGCUAUCCACAUUGCCUCUAAUCCAGUAUUUCACGAGAGGACUAAACACAUCGAAAUUGAUUGUCAUUUUGUUCAUGAAAAGGUCCAACAAAAGAUAAUAUCAACAGGAAAUAUCCGAACUGGAGAACAAUUAGGAGAUAUCUUAACUAAAGCUCUAAAUGAAACUCAAGUUGAUUAUAUAUAUAACAAGUUGGGCAUGAUUAACAUUUAUGCUCCAAAUUGAGGGAGAGUGUUAUAGAAAGUAAAUAUGUUAAUAUAGGAAGUAAAUAUUGAUAGAUGGGUUAAUUACUUAAUCUUAGGGAUUGUAUUAUAGACUUGAUUUUCCUUUCUGUUUAGAUACUGCCUCUCAUGUAUAAAUAGGUUGUAAUCUUUAUUGUGAUAUAACAACAAAUAUUAUCCUUCUACAAAUAUCAACAGAAGCGUAUCAACUAUCAAGCUCAUUAGAACAAGCAAACAUGCUCCCUAGGAGUACUUUAGAAAGUAAAUGUUGGAACCCCAUAAUUAUAGGAAGGCCAGAUUAUUAGGGAUUAAUUGUGUAAUUUUCCUAUUAUAAUUAGUGGCCCAAAUUUAACAAUUAGUUUCUAGUAUAUCUAGUUUCUUGUAUAUAAAUAGGGACUACAUAUAGAAUUCUUAUUAUCAAUAAAUACACUGAAAUUCUCUCAAAAUAUCUAUUUCAUCAAUAAAAAUAACAGAAGAAAUAAGGAUAUAACGAAAACGACUUAUUUUGAGUUCUGACUUACCAUAGACCACUGACAACAUGAUAUAUCAAGGGUUAUAAAUAUAUAUAUAUAUGUGUGCAUAUGCAACCCAAACUAUGCUUUCAUAACUCCAAUGUCAAUUAAUUAGAUAACAGGUUCUAAUAAUGAAAGCAGAUCAAAUAUAAAAUUAACAUAUUCUGCACAAACAAAAAAAUAAAAAUGAAUUAAUGCAAUUGUAAUGGGAAGAGAUGCCAACGGCAAGAAUACCAGGAUAACAUACACAUAAACAACUAAAACUGUGAAUUAAGCAUCUUUAUUUAAUUUAAAAUCAAUGAAGAUGGGAAAGAUUGCCAGACAAUGUAGAAUGAUAAUAUUUGUUGUUGUAUUUCACAAUAGAGAUUACAACUUAUUUAUACAUGAGAGACAGUAUCUAAACAGCAAGGAAAAUCAAGUCCAUGAUUAUACAAUCCUAAGAUUAAGCAAUUGAUCCAUCUAUCAAUAUUUACUUUCUAUAUUAACGUAUUUACUUCCUAUAAUCCAUAACACUUCCCCUCAAGUUGGAACAUAAAUGUUAAACAUGCCCAACUUGCUAUAUAUAUAAUCAAUUUCAGCCAUAAGAAUAACCAACCCAAAACAAUCAAAAUAAACAAAGGAUUAGAAGAACAGAACCCGUGAACAGUAACUCGUGAAUAGUAGCCGUGAACAAUACCCGAUUAACAGUGCCCGAUGUGUCCAAACGUUACCUUUAAUGGGUAACCCAAAUGAACAGAGCCCUAAGUCUCCAAAUGUUACCCUUUAUGGGUAAACCGAUGAACAGAACCCUAAGUCUCUAAAUGUUACCCUUUAUAGGUAACCCAAAUAAACAGAGUCCUAAGUCUCCAAAUAUUACCCUUUAUGGAUAACAUGAUGAACAGAGGCCUAAGUCUCUAAAUGUUACCCUUU
rnacentral:lncRNA from 1 species